rnacentral:pre_miRNA from 1 species
UGGCAGUGUGAUUAGCUGGUUGAAGAAGAUUAUAAAUUCAACAGCUCAUUAAACUGCCUCU